rnacentral:rRNA from 1 species
GACAGAGGGGGCAAGCGUUGCUCGGAAUUACUGGGCGUAAAGGGCGCGUAGGCGGUCAGCACAAGUCAGUUGUGAAAUCUCCGGGCUUAACUCGGAAAGGUCAACUGAUACUGUGCGACUAGAGUGCGGAAGGGGCAACUGGAAUUCUCGGUGUAGCGGUGAAAUGCGUAGAUAUCGAGAGGAACACCUGCGGCGAAGGCGGGUUGCUGGGCCGACACUGACGCUGAUGCGCGAAAGCCAGGGGAGCAAACGGG